rnacentral:rRNA from 1 species
UGGGGAAUAUUGCACAAUGGGCGCAAGCCUGAUGCAGCCAUGCCACGUGUAUGAAGAAGGCCUUCGGGUUGUAAAGUACUUUCAGCGAGGAGGAAGGCGUUGUGGUUAAUAACCGCAGCGAUUGACGUUACUCGCAGAAGAAGCACCGGCUAACUCCGUGCCAGCAGCCGCGGUAAUACGGAGGGUGCAAGCGUUAAUCGGAAUUACUGGGUGUAAAGCGCACGCAGGCGGUCUGUCAAGUCGGAUGUGAAAUCCCCGGGCUCAACCUGGGAACUGCAUCCGAAACUGGCAGGCUAGAGUCUUGUAGAGGGGGGUAGAAUUCCAGGUGUAGCGGUGAAAUGCGUAGAGAUCUGGAGGAAUACCGGUGGCGAAGGCGGCCCCCUGGACAAAGACUGACGCUCAGGUGCGAAAGCGUGGGGAGCAAACA